rnacentral:rRNA from 1 species
AGUGAACGCUGGCGGUAGGCCUAACACAUGCAAGUCGAACGGCAGCACAGUAAGAGCUUGCUCUUACGGGUGGCGAGUGGCGGACGGGUGAGGAAUACAUCGGAAUCUACUUUUUCGUGGGGGAUAACGUAGGGAAACUUACGCUAAUACCGCAUACGACCUACGGGUGAAAGCAGGGGAUCUUCGGACCUUGCGCGAUUGGAUGAGCCGAUGUCGGAUUAGCUAGUUGGCGGGGUAAAGGCCCACCAAGGCGAGGAUCCGUAGCUGGUCUGAGUGGAUGAUCGGCCACACUGGAACUGAGACACCGUCCAGACUCCUACGGGAGGCAGCAGUGGGGAAUAUUGGACAAAGGGCGCAAGCCUGAUCCAGCCAUACCGCGUGGGUUAAGAAGGCCUUCGGUUUGGAAAGCCCUUUUGUUGGGAAAGAAAAGCAGCAGGUUAAUACCCCGCUGUUCUGACGGUACCCAAAGAAGAAGCACCGGCUAACUUCGUG